GGGGAUGUAGCUCAGUGGCAGAGCAUCUGCUUUGUUUGCAGAAGGUCCCAGGUUCAAUCCCUGGCAGCCUCU